rnacentral:rRNA from 1 species
UGGGGAAUAUUGGACAAUGGGCGAAAGCCUGAUCCAGCCAUGCCGCGUGUGUGAAGAAGGUCUUCGGAUUGUAAAGCACUUUAAGUUGGGAGGAAGGGCAUUAACCUAAUACGUUAGUGUUUUGACGUUACCGACAGAAUAAGCACCGGCUAACUCUGUGCCAGCAGCCGCGGUAAUACAGAGGGUGCAAGCGUUAAUCGGAAUUACUGGGCGUAAAGCGCGCGUAGGUGGUUUGUUAAGUUGGAUGUGAAAGCCCCGGCCUCAACCUGGGAACUGCAUCCAAAACUGGCAAGCUAGAGUACGGUAGAGGGUGGUGGAAUUUCCUGUGCAGCGGUGAAAUGCGUAGAUAUAGGAAGGAACACCAGUGGCGAAGGCGACCACCUGGACUGAUACUGACACUGAGGUGCGAAAGCGUGGGGAGCAAACA